CUUUCCCUCACUGCCUGCGGAGGCGGCCGGACGUCUUCUGCACUUCACAAGUUUCUUUUCGAGCCAUCAGCAUGGCUUUACGAACAGAAGUGUCCACACUGCACGCCUCUCUGUUCCAGCGUGUUUUAAUAAACAGAGUUCUUCUGUCAGCGGCGAAACGAAGACUGAACGGUGGAUUCGGCUGAAUUAAAUCCAAGCAGAAUGUGAUAAUCCAAAGUGACGCUUGCAGGUUGAGGAGUUGAGCAGUAGUUGGAUGAAGAUUUGCUGUGAAUCACAUGAAUGCAGCGCUUGAUGGGGAAACCUGAACAUUUGUGAUCUGCCUGGAUGGAGCUCUGCUGAACUUCGGAUAGUCCUGAGAACAGAUUGAAAGAAGGACGUCUGCUCUGCUGAAGUGUCUGUAUCGGAGCUACAGCACGCUUUCAGUCAUCACCAGACCGAAAACUGCAGGCCGAAAACUCCAUUAGUUUUGUUUGCUGAAUAAACAACUGAAUCUGGAAA